UAAUGUAUGGGGAUCUGCCCGAUAGAGGGGGAUAACUACUGGAAACGGUGGCUAAUACCGCAUAAUGCCUACGGACCAAAGCAGGGGCUCUUCGGACCUUGCACUAUCGGAUGAACCCAUAUGGGAUUAGCUAGUAGGUGGGGUAAAGGCUCACCAGGCGACGAUCUCUAGCUGGUCUGAGAGGAUGAUCAGCCACACUGGGACUGAGACACGGCCCAG
rnacentral:rRNA from 1 species